rnacentral:rRNA from 1 species
GACGAACGCUGGCGGCAGGCCUAACACAUGCAAGUCGAACGAGUGGCGGACGGGUGAGUAAUGUCUGGGAAACUGCCUGAUGGAGGGGGAUAACUACUGGAAACGGUAGCUAAUACCGCAUACCAUCAGAUGUGCCCAGAUGGGAUUAGCUAGUAGGUGGGGUAACGGCUCACCUAGGCGACCAUCACUAGCUGGUCUGAUAGGAUGACCAGCCACACUGGAACGUAGACACGGUCCAGGCUCCUACGGGAGUCAGCAGUGGAGAAUUAUGCACAAUGGUCGCAGGCCUGCUGCAGCCCUGCCGCGUGGAUGAAGAAGGCCGUCGGGUUGUGAAGUACUUUCAGCGGGGAGGCGUUACCCGCAGAAGAAGCACCGGCUAGCGCCGUGCCAGCAGCCGCGGUAAUAC